rnacentral:tmRNA from 1 species
GGGGGCGACCUGGCUUCGACGCGGGUUGCGAAACCGGAGGUGCAUGCCGAGGAUGCAGGUUUCCUCGUAAAUCCAUCUGCAAAUCUAUAGUUGCCAACGACGACAACUACGCACUCGCCGCUUAAAACCCGGUAGGGUGCCCUCUGACUGAAGCCGUGCCUGUGCGUUCAGAUUCCAGGGGUCAUAUCUCACAGGAUCGCGUCAAAGCUCGUCCGGGGCUGCGACGUUAAAACCUAACCGGAAUCGCCGUCAGUUGGCCCUGCCCGUCGGGUUGCUGCCGGUUAAAACAAUAGACGCGGAUAAGCAUGUAGAGCCAAUGGCAGAGGACUUGCGGACGCGGGUUCGAUUCCCGCCGCCUCCACCA